rnacentral:rRNA from 1 species
UUAUCCGGAUUCACUGGGUUUAAAGGGUGCGUAGGCGGGCAGGUAAGUCCGUGGUGAAAUCUCUGAGCUUAACUCAGAAACUGCCAUGGAUACUAUUUGUCUUGAAUGUUGUGGAGGUAAGCGGAAUAUGUCAUGUAGCGGUGAAAUGCUUAGAUAUGACAUAGAACACCAAUUGCGAAGGCAGCUUACUACACAAAUAUUGACGCUGAGGCACGAAAGCGUGGGGAUCAAACAGGAUUAGAUACCCUGGUAGUCCACGCCCUAAACGAUGAUUACUCGACAUCAGCGAUACACUGUUGGUGUCUGAGCGAAAGCAUUAAGUAAUCCACCUGGGAAGUACGAUCGCAAGAUUGAAACUCAAAGG